rnacentral:rRNA from 1 species
GGUUAAGCGACUAAGCGUACACGGUGGAUGCCCUGGCAGUCAGAGGCGAUGAAGGACGUGCUAAUCUGCGAAAAGCGCCGGCGAGGUGAUAUGAACCUUUGACCCGGCGAUGUCCGAAUGGGGAAACCCAGUGUGAUUCGUCACACUAUCGUUAACUGAAUACAUAGGUUAACGAGGCGAACCGGGGGAACUGAAACAUCUAAGUACCCCGAGGAAAAGAAAUCAACCGAGAUUCCCCCAGUAGCGGCGAGCGAACGGGGAGCAGCCCAGAGUCUGAAUCAGCUUGUGUGUUAGUGGAACGGUCUGGAAAGUCCGGCGAUACAGGGUGACAGCCCCGUACACGAAAGCACACAGGCUGUGAACUCGAAGAGUAGGGCGGGACACGUGGUAUCCUGUCUGAAUAUGGGGGGACCAUCCUCCAAGGCUAAAUACUCCUGACUGACCGAUAGUGAACCAGUACCGUGAGGGAAAGGCGAAAAGAACCCCGGCGAGGGGAGUGAAAAAGAACCUGAAACCGUGUACGUACAAGCAGUGGGAGCACCUUCGUGGUGUGACUGCGUACCUUUUGUAUAAUGGGUCAGCGACUUAUAUUCUGUAGCAAGGUUAACCGUAUAGGGGAGCCGAAGGGAAACCGAGUCUUAACUGGGCGUUAAGUUGCAGGGUAUAGACCCGAAACCCGGUGAUCUAGCCAUGGGCAGGUUGAAGGUUGGGUAACACUAACUGGAGGACCGAACCGACUAAUGUUGAAAAAUUAGCGGAUGACUUGUGGCUGGGGGUGAAAGGCCAAUCAAACCGGGAGAUAGCUGGUUCUCCCCGAAAGCUAUUUAGGUAGCGCCUCGUGAACUCAUCUUCGGGGGUAGAGCACUGUUUCGGCUAGGGGGCCAUCCCGGCUUACCAACCCGAUGCAAACUACGAAUACCGAAGAAUGUUAUCACGGGAGACACACGGCGGGUGCUAACGUCCGUCGUGAAGAGGGAAACAACCCAGACCGCCAGCUAAGGUCCCAAAGUCAUGGUUAAGUGGGAAACGAUGUGGGAAGGCACAGACAGCCAGGAUGUUGGCUUAGAAGCAGCCAUCAUUUAAAGAAAGCGUAAUAGCUCACUGGUCGAGUCGGCCUGCGCGGAAGAUGUAACGGGGCUAAACCAUGCACCGAAGCUGCGGCAGCGACGCUUAUGCGUUGUUGGGUAGGGGAGCGUUCUGUAAGCCGUUGAAGGUGUCCUGUGAGGGGUGCUGGAGGUAUCAGAAGUGCGAAUGCUGACAUAAGUAACGAUAAAGCGGGUGAAAAGCCCGCUCGCCGGAAGACCAAGGGUUCCUGUCCAACGUUAAUCGGGGCAGGGUGAGUCGACCCCUAAGGCGAGGCCGAAAGGCGUAGUCGAUGGGAAACAGGUUAAUAUUCCUGUACUUGGUGUUACUGCGAAGGGGGGACGGAGAAGGCUAUGUUAGC